CUACGGGUGGCAGCAGUGGGGAAUAUUGGACAAUGGGCGAAAGCCUGAUCCAGCCAUGCCGCGUGUGUGAAGAAGGCCUUCGGGUUGUAAAGCACUUUCAGUGGGGAAGAAAGCCUUGGGGCUAAUACCCUCGAGGAAGGACAUCACCCACAGAAGAAGCACCGGCUAACUCCGUGCCAGCAGCCGCGGUAAUACGGAGGGUGCGGGCGUUAAUCGGAAUUACUGGGCGUAAAGCGCGCGUAGGCGGUCUGAUAAGCCGGUUGUGAAAGCCCCGGGCUUAACCUGGGAACGGCAUCCGGAACUGUCAGGCUAGAGUGCAGGAGAGGAAGGUAGAAUUCCCGGUGUAGCGGUGAAAUGCGUAGAGAUCGGGAGGAAUACCAGUGGCGAAGGCGGCCUUCUGGACUGACACUGACGCUGAGGUGCGAAAGCGUGGGUAGCAAACAGGAUUAGAUACCCGGGUAGUC
rnacentral:rRNA from 1 species